rnacentral:lncRNA from 1 species
CUUCUGCACAAGCAGAUCUGGACCUCUUUUUGGGCAGAAGCUUUUCUCCUGCUCUUGUCUUUCACAGCUCGGGAAAGAGGAAAGGUUCCCAUUGCUAAGCCAGGUCCAGGCCAGUUUUGACUCUUUAGAUAUCAGCAUCAAAUUUUGCAAGGUCUCGUGGAUGAAUAAUAAACCACUGCAUCGCUUCCACAUGCUGUGUUCUGUGGUCUUCAGGAGGAAAUGACCCUUAUCCUUUCCCAAACCAACAGUUAACACACCUUUGUUGAUACGUGUCAUACUUCUGAGGCUCAGAGCUCCUAACAGUCCCUGGGGACUGGCUUCUGCACCAGAGACAAAAAGCUGAGCAGAACGUGCAGAGGAAGCCGUACAAAAGUAACCUAUUGCCGUGCUGUUUGGCUGCUCUUGGCUGUCGAUGACAAGUGGACUGGUGGUGUUAGGCAGCUCCCAGGGGGAGGAUCAGAAGUACUCUAUCUAUGACACCUUGUUUAAGGAAUCCCUGCACUGGGGGCAGGCAGGAGGAACUCUACUGUGGCCAUGCAGCGCUUCUUGCUUGUGCUUUACCAGGAACCAGUGCCCAUGCUGGUGGGGUUUGCCCAGAUGCAGAGAUGUUGAUUCUUUACAGCUAGUGGAAGGCACAGGAUGGGAGGUGGGGGAUACACAUCCUUUCACAGCUGUGGGUGUGAUUAACCAGGCUUCUCUGGACCAGGCUGCAUGUGUGAGCUGUCUGGAGGUCUCAGCUUGGUACCGAGAAGUAUGUGAAUUUAGCAGAACAGAAGCAAAGGAAGAAGAAACUGUCCAAGAGUUGGUGACCAUGUGUGCUGGGAAGGAUGAUGAAAUAACAAAGUAUUCCCAUCAUGAUUUAUGACUGAAGAGAAAUGCUGUCCAGGUGAUGAUCCAGUCCAUUAUCUCGACGGAGGUGCUGACCACUGUAGGGAAGCACAGAGAGCUGAUGUACAACAUGAUGGAGAACAAGCAGAAGAAAGGGGGCUUCCAGGUUACAACUGAAAAAAGCAUAAUUCAUAUGAUUUGCAAUAAUUGGAUGCAAAAGAAAAAAAAAGAAAAACAGAAAACUUUAUCCUAUUGCUCCUCCCCCGAGCUGCCGGAGCUCAGGGAGCGUUGGGAUACCACUCUUAGAUGUAGGGUGUGGGUUUGGGUGUUCCUAUGUGGAGCUGAG